rnacentral:rRNA from 1 species
GAUGAACGCUGGCGGCGUGCCUAAUACAUGCAAGUCGAGCGAACAGACGAGGAGCUUGCUCCUCUGACGUUAGCGGCGGACGGGUGAGUAACACGUGGAUAACCUACCUAUAAGACUGGGAUAACUGCGGGAAACCGGAGCUAAUACCGGAUAAUAUAUUGAACCGCAUGGUUCAAUAGUGAAAGACGGUUUUGCUGUCGCUUAUAGAUGGAUCGGCGCCUCAUUGGUAGUUGGUCAGGUAACGGCUUAACAAGGCAACGAUGCGUAGGCGAACUGAGAGGGUGGUCGGCCACACGGGAGCGUGGACACGGUCCAGACUCCUACGGGAGGCAGCAGUAGGGAAUCGGCCGCAAUGGGCGAAAGCCUGACGGAGCAACGCCGCGUGAGUGAUGAAGGUCUUCGGAUCGUAAAACUCUGUUACUAGGGAAGAACAAAUGUGUAAGUAACUAUGCACGUCUUGACGGUACCUAAACAGAAAGCCACGGCUAACUACGUG